UGGUUACUAUUCAUCCUCUCUCCCAAUCUCUUUCUUAUUCUUGUUACUCAAAUCUUGCAUAUCUCUCUCUUCUUAUUCCGCUUAAUUCAACAAUAAAUAGCGGAAAAGCUGGAGAGGAUGCCGGAAAACACGCUGGAAUGAACUCUGUUAGCUGCUGAGAAGACCCCAGAAGACAGAGGGCAACGUCGAUUAGGAGAGGAGAACAUCGGAGAAGCUAUUCCGAUAGGGAAAGUCCAUUUGAGAUCUCCUCUUACGGCUCCUCGAAAAGCGUGUCUAGGAUAAACUAGGGCGAAUUCUUUUUUUCCUUCAAAUAGUGUUUCAUAACAAUCGAUUAAUUCAAAACUAUGUAAAUCAACCUUUGAUUCAUCAGUUUUUGCAAAUUGAAAAGGAUAUUAGCCCGGUUAAAACCCAAAAUUGGUUUGUCCUUGUAACAUACCCGAUUUUAAUUUUUAUUCUUCUUCUUUUCUAUUAAUCAUUAACGUCUUCUAUAACUUCUUCUUCAAACAUAGACAACUAUCU
rnacentral:lncRNA from 1 species